rnacentral:lncRNA from 1 species
AAUAACCAUGCAGCUGAAAGUGAUCCUUGUGGGCUUGGCCAUCUUUGGUCUUAUUGUGGCAGACAGCAUGUGCUAUGCCGGC